UAAAACAAUGUUUUCGUCGAUUAAUACAAUAUAGCUUUCGCUAAAAUCGACCAACAAACAAACAUUUUCUACCCAGAACUACGUAAGCCUUAAUUUCUCUAUUGAGAUACGUAGGAGCGGGAUUUGUAAAUCUUGUCAGGCCCACUAAUAAAAAAACUUAGGUUUAGUCCUUCGUCAAAAAAAUCCAAAAAACAUUCUCCUCUAAGGCCCACUAAUAAAAAAACUUAGGUUUAGUCCUUCGUCAAAAAAAUCCAAAAAACAUUCUCCUCUCAUCCUUUCUUUCUUUCCCACCUGAUAACUUAAAGCCUAACAUUUCAAACUAAC
rnacentral:lncRNA from 1 species